rnacentral:rRNA from 1 species
GAGUUUGAUCGUGGCUCAGGAUGAACGCUGGCGGCGUGCCUAAUACAUGCAAGUCGAACGAACAGAUAAGGAGCUUGCUCCUUUGACGUUAGCGGCGGACGGGUGAGUAACACGUGGGUAACCUACCUAUAAGACUGGGAAUAACUCCGGGAAACCGGGGCUAAUGCCGGAUAACAUGUUGAACCGCAUGGUUCUACAGUGAAAGACGGUCUUGCUGUCACUUAUAGAUGGACCCGCGCCGUAUUAGCUAGUUGGUGGGGUAACGGCCUACCAAGGCGACGAUACGUAGCCGACCUGAGAGGGUGAUCGGCCACACUGGAACUGAGACACGGUCCAGACUCCUACGGGAGGCAGCAGUAGGGAAUCUUCCGCAAUGGGCGAAAGCCUGACGGAGCAACGCCGCGUGAGUGAUGAAGGUCUUCGGAUCGUAAAGCUCUGUUGUUAGGGAAGAACAAAUGUGUAAGUAACUAGUGCAUAUCUUGACGGUACCUAACCAGAAAGCCACGGCUAACUACGUGCCAGCCGCGCCGUAAUACCG